GUGCUCACUUUGGCAGCACGUAUACUAAAAUCGGAAUGAUACAGAGAAGAUUAGCACGGCCCCUUUGCAAAGAUGACACGCAGAUUUAUGAAGCAUUCUCUGUUUUU